AAGGAAAAAAAAAAAAAAAUUUCUGUGUGGGUAAUGCGAAGUAUUUUUCACAAGAAACAGGGUAGCUCUGUCUUUUGGGCAAACAAUUCAUAAUGCUGUUGAAAAGUCUAUUGCGCUUUACACAUCUUUAUUGAUAUGAAACCAAGAAUCACAACCCCUUAUUCCCUCAAAACAAAUUUUAUGAUUGAACAUCAUUUUUUUUUAUAAUUUCAAUUUGGAAGUAUUUAAAUUUUUUGCCAUUUUUUUCUUAAACUCAUUGAACAAAGCUUUGUAUAUAUUUAAACAAUUCCCAGUUCAGUUUUUUAAAAUUAAGUGUUUUUUUCUUAUUGACAUAGG
rnacentral:misc_RNA from 1 species